CAGGUGCAGGAGCUGAUCAUCAACAAGGACCCGACACUGCUGGACAACUUCCUGGAUGAAAUCAUCGCCUUCCAGGCCGACAAAUCCAUCGAGGUCCGCAAGUUCGUGGUGGGAUUCAUCGAGGAGGCCUGCAAGCGGGACAUGGAGCUGCUGCAGAAGC